rnacentral:rRNA from 1 species
GACGAACGCUGGCGGCGUGCUUAACACAUGCAAGUCGAACGGCAAGGCCCUGCCUUUGUGGGGUGCUCGAGUGGCGAACGGGUGAGUAACACGUGAGUAACCUGCCCUUGACUUUGGGAUAACUUCAGGAAACUGGGGCUAAUACCGGAUAGGAGCUCCUGCUGCAUGGUGGGGGUUGGAAAGUUUCGGCGGUUGGGGAUGGACUCGCGGCUUAUCAGCUUGUUGGUGGGGUAGUGGCUUACCAAGGCUUUGACGGGUAGCCGGCCUGAGAGGGUGACCGGCCAAAUUGGGACUGAGAAACGGCCCAGACUCCUACGGGAGGAAGCAGUGGGGAAUAUUGCACAAUGGGCGGAAGACUGAUGCAGCAACGCCGCGUGCGGGAUGAAGGCCUUCGGGUUGUAAAACGCUUUCGCCUGUGACGAAGCGUGAGUGACGGUAAUGGGUAAAGAAGAACCGGAUAACUACGUG